GAUGAACGCUAGCGGCAGGCUUAAUACAUGCAAGUCGAGGGGUAACAUGGGUAGCAAUACCUGAUGACGACCGGCAAACGGGUGCGGAACACGUACGCAACCUUCCCAUAACUGGUGAAUAGCCCUCCGAAAGGAGGAUUAAUACACCGUAACAUAACGAAGUGGCAUCACUUUGUUAUUAUAGGCUUCGGCCGGUUUUGGAUGGGCGUGCGCCUGAUUAGGUAGUUGGAGGGGUAAAGGCCCACCAAGGCGACGAUCCGUAGCUGGUCUGAGAGGAUGAUCAGCCACACUGGAACUGAGACACGGUCCAGACUCCUACGGGAGGCAGCAGUGGGGAAUAUUGGACAAUGGGCGCAAGCCUGAUCCAGCAAUGCCGCGUGUGUGAAGAAGGCCUUCGGGUUGUAAAGCACUUUUAUCAGGAACGAAAAGCGUUGGAUUAAUACUCUGACGUGCUGACGGUACCUGAGGAAUAAGCACCGGCUAACUUCGUGCCAGCACG
rnacentral:rRNA from 1 species